AUUGAACGCUGGCGGCAUGCCUUACACAUGCAAGUCGAACGGCAGCACGGGAGCAAUCCUGGUGGCGAGUGGCGAACGGGUGAGUAGUACAUCGGAACGUGCCUAGUAGUGGGGGAUAGCCCGGCGAAAGCCGGAUUAAUACCGCAUACGACCUGAGGGUGAAAGCGGGGGAUCGCAAGACCUCGCGCUAUCAGAGCGGCCGAUGCCAGAUUAGGUAGUUGGUGGGGUAAAAGCCUACCAAGCCGACGAUCUGUAGCUGGUCUGAGAGGACGACCAGACACACUGGGACGGGGACACGGCCCAGACUCCUGCGGGAGGCAGCAGUGGGGAAUUUUGGACAAUGGGCGCAAGCCUGAUCCAGCCAUGCCGCGUGCAGGAAGAAGGCCUUCGGGUUGUAAACUGCUUUUGUCAGGGAAGAAAAGUUCUGGGCUAAUACCCCGGAGCGAUGACGGUACCUGAAGAAUAAGCACCGGCUAACUACGUGCCAGCAGCCGCCGUAA
rnacentral:rRNA from 1 species